rnacentral:rRNA from 1 species
AGAGUUUGAUCAUGGGUCAAGACGAACGCUGGGGGCGUGCCUAAUACAUGCAAGUCGAGCGCAGGAAACUGACGGAACUCUUCGGAGGGAAGGCAGCGGAAUGAGCGGCGGACGGGUGAGUAACACGUAAGGAACCUGCCUCAAGGAUUGGGAUAACUCCGAGAAAUCGGAGCUAAUACCGGAUAGUUCAACGGACCGCAUGGUCCGCUGAUGAAAGGCGCUUCGGCGUCACCUUGAGAUGGCCUUGCGGUGCAUUAGCUAGUUGGUGAGGUAACGGCCCACCAAGGCGACGAUGCAUAGCCGACCUGAGAGGGUGAUCGGCCACACUGGGACUGAGACACGGCCCAGACUCCUACGGGAGGCAGC